GACGAACGCUGGCGGCGUGCUUAACACAUGCAAGUCGAACGGAAAGGCCUGCUUUCCCUUGUGGAUUGCGGGUACUCGAGUGGCGAACGGGUGAGUAACACGUGAGUGAUCUGCCCCCAACUUGGGUAUAAGCCUGGGAAACUGGGUCUAAUUCCCGAUAGGACUGCAGGGUGGUGCCUGUGGUGGAAAACGAUUUUCUAGUGGUUGGGGAUGAGCUCGCGGCCUAUCAGCUUGUUGGUGGGGUAAUGGCCUACCAAGGCGGGGACGGGUAGCCGGCCUGAGAGGGUGGACGGCCACAUUGGGACUGAGAUACGGCCCAGACUCCUACGGGAGGCAGCAGUGGGGAAUAUUGCACAAUGGGCGGAAGCCUGAUGCAGCGACGCCGCGUGGGGGAUGACGGCCUUCGGGUUGUAAACUCCUUGCGACCGCGAGGAAGCCACCUGGUUGGAAGGGUGGUGACGGUAGUGGUAGAAGAAGCACCGGCUAACUACGUG
rnacentral:rRNA from 1 species